rnacentral:rRNA from 1 species
GAUGAACGCUGGCGGCGUGCUUAACACAUGCAAGUCGAACGGAGUGCUCAUGACGGAGUUUUCGGACAACUGAUUGAGUUACUUAGUGGCGGACGGGUGAGUAACGCGUGAGGAACCUGCCUCGGAGUGGGGAAUAACAACCCGAAAGGGUUGCUAAUACCGCAUAAUGCAGUUGGGUCGCAUGGCUCUGACUGCCAAAGAUUUAUCGCUCUGAGAUGGCCUCGCGUCUGAUUAGCUAGUUGGCGGGGUAACGGCCCACCAAGGCGACGAUCAGUAGCCGGACUGAGAGGUUGACCGGCCACAUUGGGACUGAGACACGGCCCAG